rnacentral:rRNA from 1 species
GAUGAACGCUAGCGGCAGGCUUAACACAUGCAAGUCGAGGGGUAGAAGGAGCUUGCUCCUUUGAGACCGGCGCACGGGUGCGUAACGCGUAUGCAAUCUACCUUGUACAGGGGGAUAGCCCAGAGAAAUUUGGAUUAAUACCCCAUAGUGUAAUGAAUAGGCAUCUAUUUAUUACUAAAGUUCCAACGGUACAAGAUGAGCAUGCGUCCCAUUAGCUAGUUGGUGUGGUAACGGCAUACCAAGGCAACGAUGGGUAGGGGUCCUGAGAGGGAGAUCCCCCACACUGGUACUGAGACACGGACCAGACUCCUACGGGAGGCAGCAGUGAGGAAUAUUGGUCAAUGGGCGCAAGCCUGAACCAGCCAUGCCGCGUGCAGGAUGACGGUCCUAUGGAUUGUAAACUGCUUUUGUACAGGAAGAAACACUCCCUCGUGAGGGAGCUUGACGGUACUGUAAGAAUAAGGAUCGGCUAACUCCGUGCCAGCAGCCGCCGCAGUAA